GACGAACGCUGGCGGCGUGCCUAAUACAUGCAAGUUGAGCGCUGAAGGUUGGUACUUGUACCAACUGGAUGAGCAGCGAACGGGUGAGUAACGCGUGGGGAAUCUGCCUUUGAGCGGGGGACAACAUUUGGAAACGAAUGCUAAUACCGCAUAAAAACUUUAAACACAAGUUUUAAGUUUGAAAGAUGCAAUUGCAUCACUCAAAGAUGAUCCCGCGUUGUAUUAGCUAGUUGGUGAGGUAAAGGCUCACCAAGGCGAUGAUACAUAUCCGACCUGAGAGGGUGAUCGGCCACAUUGGGACUGAGACACGGCCCAAACUCCUACGGGAGGCAGCAGUAGGGAAUCUUCGGCAAUGGACGAAAGUCUGACCGAGCAACGCCGCGUGAGUGAAGAAGGUUUUCGGAUCGUAAAACUCUGUUGGUAGAGAAGAACGUUGGUGAGAGUGGAAAGCUCAUCAAGUGACGGUAACUACCCAGAAAGGGACGGCUAACUACGUG
rnacentral:rRNA from 1 species